rnacentral:rRNA from 1 species
CCUACGGGAGGCAGCAGUGGGGAAUAUUGCGCAAUGGGCGAAAGCCUGACGCAGCGACGCCGCGUGAGGGAUGAAGGUCUUCGGAUCGUAAACCUCUGUCAGCAGGGAAGAACGGUCACUGUGCUAAUCAGCAGUGAAUUGACGGUACCUGCAAAGGAAGCACCGGCUAACUCCGUGCCAGCAGCCGCGGUAAUACGGAGGGUGCGAGCGUUAAUCGGAAUUACUGGGCGUAAAGCGCUCGUAGGCGGUAUGUCAAGUCAAGGGUGAAAUCCCCGCGCUCAACGUGGGAACUGCCUUUGAAACUGGCAAACUGGAGGGUGAGAGAGGAUAGUGGAAUUCCAGGUGAAGGAGUGAAAGCCGUAGAUAGAUGGAGGAACAUCAGUGGCGAAGGCGACUAUCUGGCACAUAACUGACGCUGAGGGGCGAAAGCGUGGGUAGCAAACAGGAUUAGAUACCCUAGUAGUC